rnacentral:rRNA from 1 species
AAUGAACGCUGGCGGCAGGCCUAACACAUGCAAGUCGAACGGUAACAGGAAGAAGCUUGCUUCUUUGCUGACGAGUGGCGGACGGGUGAGUAAUGUCUGGGAAACUGCCUGAUGGAGGGGGAUAACUACUGGAAACGGUAGCUAAUACCGCAUAACGUCGCAAGACCAAAGAGGGGGACCUUCGGGCCUCUUGCCAUCGGAUGUGCCCAGAUGGGAUUAGCUUGUUGGUGGGGUAACGGCUCACCAAGGCGACGAUCCCUAGCUGGUCUGAGAGGAUGACCAGCCACACUGGAACUGAGACACGGUCCAGACUCCUACGGGAGGCAGCAGUGGGGAAUAUUGCACAAUGGGCGCAAGCCUGAUGCAGCCAUGCCGCGUGUAUGAAGAAGGCCUUCGGGUUGUAAAGUACUUUCAGCGGGGAGGAAGGGAGUAAAGUUAAUACCUUUGCUCAUUGACGUUACCCGCAGAAGAAGCACCGGCUAACUCCGUGCCAGCAGCCGCGGUAAUACGGAGGGUGCAAGCGUUAAUCGGAAUUACUGGGCGUAAAGCGCACGCAGGCGGUUUGUUAAGUCAGAUGUGAAAUCCCCGGGCUCAACCUGGGAACUGCAUCUGAUACUGGCAAGCUUGAGUCUCGUAGAGGGGGGUAGAAUUCCAGGUGUAGCGGUGAAAUGCGUAGAGAUCUGGAGGAAUACCGGUGGCGAAGGCGGCCCCCUGGACGAAGACUGACGCUCAGGUGCGAAAGCGUGGGGAGCAACAGAU